GACGAACGCUGGCGGCGUGCUUAACACAUGCAAGUCGAACGGAAAGGCCUCCACCUUGGUGGGGGUGCUCGAGUGGCGAACGGGUGAGUAACACGUGGGUGAUCUGCCCUGUACUUCGGGAUAAGCUUGGGAAACUGGGUCUAAUACCGGAUAGGACCAUGGUUUAGUGUCUCAUGGUGGAAAGAUUUUUUGGUGCAGGAUGAGCUCGCGGCCUAUCAGCUUGUUGGUGGGGUAAUGGCCUACCAAGGCGUCGACGGGUAGCCGGCCUGAGAGGGUGGACGGCCACAUUGGGACUGAGAUACGGCCCAGACUCCUACGGGAGGCAGCAGUGGGGAAUAUUGCACAAUGGGCGCAAGCCUGAUGCAGCGACGCCGCGUGGGGGAUGACGGCCUUCGGGUUGUAAACUCCUUUCGUUAGGGACGAAGCCGCACCUUUUUUGGGUGUGGUGACGGUACCUUUGUUAAGAAGCACCGGCUAACUACGUGCCAGCAGCCGCGGUAAUACGUAGGGUGCGAGCGUUGUCCGGAAUUACUGGGCGUAAAGAGCUCGUAGGUGGUUUGUUGCGUCGUCUGUGAAAUUCCGGGGCUUAACUUCGGGGUGGCAGGCGAUACGGGCAUAACUAGAGUGCUGUAGGGGAGACUGGAAUUCCUGGUGUAGCGGUGGAAUGCGCAGAUAUCAGGAGGAACACCGAUGGCGAAGGCAGGUCUCUGGGCAGUAACUGACGCUGAGGAGCGAAAGCAUGGGGAGCGAACAGGAUUAGAUACCCUGGUAGUCCAUGCUGUAAACGGUGGGCGUUAGGUGUGGGGACCGGUUUGGUUUCUGUGCCGUAGCUAACGCAUUAAGCGCCCCGCCUGGGGAGUACGGCCGCAAGGCUAAAACUCAAAGGAAUUGACGGGGGCCCGCACAAGCGGCGGAGCAUGUGGAUUAAUUCGAUGCAACGCGAAGAACCUUACCUGGGUUUGACAUGCACCAGACGGUUGUAGAGAUACGUACCUCCCUUUGUGGUUGGUGUGCAGGUGGUGCAUGGUUGUCGUCAGCUCGUGUCGUGAGAUGUUGGGUUAAGUCCCGCAACGAGCGCAACCCUUGUCUUAUGUUGCCAGCACUUUGGGUGGGGACUCAUGAGAGACUGCCGGGGUUAACUCGGAGGAAGGUGGGGAUGACGUCAAAUCAUCAUGCCCUUUAUGCCCAGGGCUUCACACAUGCUACAAUGGUUAGUACAACGCGCUGCGAGCCUGUGAGGGUGAGCGAAUCGCUGAAAGCUAAUCUCAGUUCGGAUUGGGGUCUGCAACUCGACCCCAUGAAGUCGGAGUCGCUAGUAAUCGCAGAUCAGCAAUGCUGCGGCGAAUACGUUCCCGGGCCU
rnacentral:rRNA from 1 species